rnacentral:rRNA from 3 species
GUACGACGCUGGUGGUGCUGUCUCAGUUGCAUUUAUUUGAACUUAACUUCCGGGUGAAAGGCCCAGAUAAAUCUGAAAGACGAUUAGACCCUAUCGAACUUUAGGUAGAUCAGCUGUCAAGACACCCAGUAAGGGUAGAGCCUGCCUGCUGCUUAAACCUUUGGUUGGGGUAACCGGGGGUUAAAAAAACCGCCCCCCUCCUUUGAAAGUAGACACCCGCAUGAUGAAGGUAGUAAAGAUUUUACCUCCAGGGCAAUUGGCCUUCAGGAAAGUACCACCUUUUAUAAAAUUAGGAAAGUCUGACAAGACAUAACUUACUUAUAGAAUGAACCUAAAGAACUGUUUGCUAUCAGUCAACUGUUAAUAGGGAAGAGUUACCGUAGGGAUAACAGCGUAAUCCUCCCGGCGAGACCACAUUAAGGGGAGGGUUUGCGACCUCGAUGUUGGCUUAGGGCUUCCUAGAAGUGCAGGGGCUUCUAAGGUUGUCUGUUCGACCAUUAAAGCCUUACGUGAUCUGAGUUCAACCGCG